rnacentral:lncRNA from 1 species
GUGGAUGUCCCUAAAUGGCCUCAGAAGUUUCCAUUAGAAGAAAUUAGAGAUAUUGUAGGUUUUAAGUCAUUGAGCAAUCACUUACUAAUUACAAGUCACUUAUUUAUUAGACAAAAAUGAACAUUUUAUGUGCACAAAGAUAGUAUCAUAAGAGGUGUGGCGUUUUGCCAUUGGAACCUGGGCAUACGGUCAUUUGUCCUGCAGUUUCUCGUGUACUGAAAGGUGGCGUGGAUCCUACAGUUUCUCGUGUACUGAAAAGCGGUGUGGAUCCUACAGCUUCUCUACUGAAAGGUGGCGUGGAUCCUACAGCUUCUCGUGUACGGAAAGGCGGCGUGGAUCCUACAGCUUCUUGUGUACGGAAAGGCGGUGUGGAUCCUACAGCUUCUCUACUGAAAGGUGGCGUGGAUCCUACAGUUUCUCAUGUACGGAAAGGCGGCGUGGAUCCUCAGCUUCUCGUGUACCGAAAGGCGGCGUGGAGCAGCACAAGGAGCUUGAGCGUUGCAAUGAGAAGUCAUGGCUGUGAAUCCCACCCCAUCACGUUUUGAAUGUUGGGCAAAUUAAUUAAUCGUUUUAUCCACUUACUAGGCGAUGUAUAGUUUGUAUACUUCAUGCCAGUCAUUGUUUUAGACUCUUAGGAUGCAAAGAUAAAUAAGAAAGUUGCUUUGGGCAAAGAGUGAGACCUUUUUCUUAAAAAAACAAAACAAAAGAAUUACCAUGUGAUGAGCACUUCUCCUUCUGGGUGCAUACCCAGUGCUCUGAGCUACAGCGUCUAACGUUCAAGCCAGCUUCUCAAUCGGACCCCAGGAUCCUUUCUAGAGAGAAAUCCUGUCCACGUCGCCCUCCUAGCUGGCACGGCUGCAGGCACCAGUGUCGUGGCAGCGGGAAGGGGAGGACGGGCUUGGUGAAAGGGGACUGGGGCCUCCUCACUCCUGGGGCUGCCAGCUCCCUCACCCUGAAAUCAGACCCACGCCCGCCCUGCACUUCCUGAGUGUUUCCUGAGACCAAGGGAUCAGAGCUUCGGCUGUGAGGGGCGGUGCUGUGCCCUGGGACACACGGAGCCACAGCCUCCGCUUCCAGGGUGCCCUGGGGCCUCUCUCCACGUCUCCCUAGGGGCAACCGCCACAACUACUCUGUGUCGUGUGUCCUGCGCCGUCCAUCCGACCCCUCGCAACUCAUCCCAAGCCUGGGGGGCUCUGGGGGACAGGGCAGGUGGGGCCAUGUGACCAGGAGAACCUGCUGGUGUCUCCGGCCUCCACUGGGUGCCCCAGGACUGUGGUCAGCAGGGUGGAGCCCCUGAUGCAGCUUCACUGCCUGCUGCAGCCAGAGGGGGACGGGGUCCCACCCACAGCCCCUCCUCCGGAGCCCCCAGCUCUCCCCUCCGAAUCUCUCCACCCACCGCACCCCUGAGCGUGAGGGGCACUGGGGUCUCCUCCCGGAAGUGGGGGUCCCGCCUGGCCCCUGAAGCCCUGGGGAAGGGUUUCUGUGGAGCUGCUCAUGGUCCCUGCCUGUCCUGCCCCCGGGCCCAGGGCCUGGCUCCACCGCCCCGGCAUGUCAUUCCCGGGGGUGGGGGCGGCACCACGGAGAAGUCAGACUCCGGCUGGGCUGGCAACAAGGGUGGGGUCAGAGGAGCCCCGUGGCGCUGUGGAGGGUGACCGGGUGCCAGGGUCCCGGGAGCUGCAGGGUUUGGGGCUGAGGCGCAGGAUGAGGCCGACACAGGGGUCCUGGGGCGCGGGCGGUCCGAGCCGUCCCCUCACCGCCCAGCCUCGUAGGGGCCCGCUGUGGGCCAACUGCAGCAGGAGCUGGGGACACAGCCGUCUCACACCUGCCUCCUGGUGCGUUUCUGGGGCUCAGGGAUAGGCGUCCUCACUCAGGACACACAGGACUGGUCUGGCCGUGGGGUCAGGCCAGGAGGCAUCCCCUUUGCACCUCCUCACACCCCUGUGGGGAGGGGAGGGCCCUGGGAACCCAUAGACGCCUGCCCCACAGCAGCUGAGGUCCCGCAGCAGCCAGCAGGGCUGGGCCACUUGAGGCCUCCGGCUCUGAUCGCCCAGAGGGCGCACGGGGUUUGGUGCAGCCUCUGAUGGGCACGAGGCGGCCGCACGGGAUGAGCACAGUGGGCGUCCCUUCCCCAUGGCCAGGACUCCAGGCUGGAAUGUGGAGGUUCCCGAAACCCACACUGGAAGGCACCCCAUGGAUAUGCUGGGGACUGGGGCCGAGAAGAGGGCACUGCAGGCACGCGGUGGGGUGGCCUCCCAACGCCCAACUCUCCUGCACACCCCAGCCCCUCCCGCAGGCCUGGGCAUGGAAGUGAGCCCGGGGCGGGUUCAGGCAGCAGUCAGGGCCUUUGUUUCAGUGCCGUAAGCUGGCCAAGUUCAACAUCCAGGGGGAUAAACAAAGGUCCUGCACACGGCCUGCACUGGGCGGGAGCAGCUCCAGAGAACCUGCCUGGGCCAGGGCUGCCCACAGCGCGGGGGCAGCAUCUGUGGGCACACCCGGACCCUGGGUGACCAGUGUGGGGGCCUCUCUGCAUGCUCAGGCAGGUGCAGACAAGGCCGCGGCCUGGGCAGCCAUCUGCCUGUCACUGCCUGGGCAGCCAUCUGCCUGUCACUGCCUGGCCAGUCAUCUGCCUGUCACUGCGUCUCAACAACUGGUGCCACAAUUCUGUGCUGACAACAAUCUCCACGCUGCAGCCACCGCCCGCCCCACAGGCCCC